UACGUAGGGUGCGAGCGUUGUCCGGAAUUAUUGGGCGUAAAGAGCUCGUAGGCGGUCUGUCGCGUCGAUCGUGAAAACUUGGGGCUUAACCCUGAGCUUGCGGUCGAUACGGGCAUGACUGGAGUUCGGCAGGGGAGACUGGAAUUCCUGGUGUAGAGGUGAAAUGCGCAGAUAUCAGGAGGAACACCGGUGGCGAAGGCGGGUCUCUGGGCCGAUACUGACGCUGAGGAGCGAAAGCGUGGGGAGCGAACAGG
rnacentral:rRNA from 1 species